UACGUAGGGUGCGAGCGUUAAUCGGAAUUACUGGGCGUAAAGCGUGCGUAGGCGGUUUGCCGUGUCCUGUGUGAAAGCCCCGGGCUCAACCUGGGAAUUGCAUGGGAAACUGGCAGGCUUGAGUGUGGCAGAGGAGGGUGGAAUUCCGCGUGUAGCAGUGAAAUGCGUAGAGAUGCGGAGGAACACCGAUGGCGAAGGCAGCCCUCUGGGCCAACACUGACGCUCAGGCACGAAAGCGUGGGGAGCAAGCAGG
rnacentral:rRNA from 1 species